rnacentral:lncRNA from 1 species
UGCUUCAUAACUAUCCAGAGUUUUAUCUGAUGAACAGAACAGAGAAAUACUGUCGGCUUGGACCAUGGAAUGGACUUCAAUUUAGUGGUUUGUCGGAUCGAAAACAAAACUCUAUAUAUGAUUUCAAGUAUGUUGCUAAUAACGAUUUGAAUUAUGUGUCUAAUAAGGAUGAGAUGUUCUACUCCUUUACCCUCAAGAAUUCUUCUGCAUUCGUUAGUGCUACAAUAUACCAAACAAAUAUUUCAAUCUAUGUGUGGGAGGAGAAUAAUACGAAUUGGUUGCUUACUGAAAGUACCCCGUUGAACUCCUGUGAAUCAUAUGGGAUUUGUGGGCCAUAUGCCAGUUGCUCAACUACAAAGUCACCAGCUUGCCAAUGUUUACGUGGGUUCAUUCCAAAGUCAACGCAGCAAUGGGCCUUAAGAGACUGGAGUCAAGGGUGUGUCCGUAAUAUAUCAUUAAGCUGCAACAACCAACAAAUGGAUGUGGAUGAUGAGUUGAUGAAAUAUGUGGGUCUCAAAGUACCGGAUACUACACAUACUUUGUUGUAUGAGAAUGUUGAUUUAGAGUUAUGCAGAACCAUGUGCUUGAAUAAUUGUUCUUGUACAGCUUUCACUAAUUCAGACAUAAGUGGAAAGGGCAGUGGCUGUGUCAUGUGGUUUGGUGAUCUAAUUGACAUAAGACAAUUUGACACUGGUGGUCAAGAUCUCUAUAUCCGUAUAGCUCGGGUAGUAACAGGUAAGUAACCAUAUUAUCACUCCUUUCAUUCUCCUUGUUAUAGAAAACAUAGGUACAAUCACUUUUAAAUCCGAGGAUGUAACUUUUAAGUCUUUGUUUCAUACUUAAAGAGGCUUCAAAUGGGCGUAACAAAAGUGUGAUAACCAUAGCUGCCACCACUGCUGCUGCAAUUUUUGGGAUGCUCUUAUUCUGCAGUUAUAUCAUAUAUAAAGUCCGAUGGAGAAUUGCUGGUAAAUUAAAUUUUCAUUCAUAUUAUUAUUGUCGCUAAACUCAUGGCAUAGAAGUGCUUUUCUAUCUAUAACUUUUUCAAUUGAAAAAAAAAAAACUAAGAAAUACUUCUAAUUCUCAAGAGACACUCUUUGGGGUAAUCAUCACAUAUCAGUAAAUUUGAGGCCAAGUGGUUUUUUUAACAUGGCUUUUGAUAGGAACUAACAAUUAUGAGCAAUGCAACAGUGAAACUAAAAAUGAUGAGCAAUGCGACAGUGUAUUAUUUGAUUAACAGAGAUGUGCUCAAUACAAUAUGGGAAAGUUUAUCCAGAGUUAGUGACUACUGACCAGAGAUACUCUCCUAACCAACUCAAUGGUAACGUACUCAAUACCCUCGCACCUAAACUCUCUCCCCUUCAAAUAACCAACCUUCCUGGAAUCUAGAGACCCCUCAUAACUAAGUUCCACUAUUCGCUCCUAACCCCACUCUUCCCCUCCUCGUGUAUACUUUCCAUGUACUGGCGUAUUCAUAUUUGUUUCUAUAAUUGGGUCACCCGUUCAUAAGGCCCAAGGAUCCUAUCAGGCAUCAGCUAUGAAGUUGGGAAAUUGUAAAUUUUAUUGCUGCUAUUAAUUAUAUAGUUCAGGACUGUAACCUCUUUCUUAGAUUGGAAUAUUAUAACUGUCUCAGAUAUUAGUAGGAAUCUGAACAUUGAGGUUCAUAACCUAGUAAGGGUAGCAACUAGCAAAAUUUGUUGGUUCAAGGACUUAGCUGGGUAAUACCUCACCCUUUUGAUGCAAUAUAGAUUUGUUUGACUGUCUUAUCAUUCAACGAAUGUUGCUGUUGAAUUUCAAAAAAUUAAACAAACAUGGCAUUGAAUUUGGAUGGUUUAAUGAUCUAGAGUUUGAAGAUACAAAUGUAAGAAAUUGAUAGAACAUUAUAUGUUUUACUCCCUCUGGUCCUUAAUAUAAGAAGAAAAACCAAAAAACAACAAAACCAAUACACUCAUUAAUUAGUGUAACUUUUUGAAUAUUUUUACAAAUAUACCCUCAUAAAAAUUUAUGAAGCAUAUACACCCACUAAUAUUAAAAAGACAAACAUUAAAUAAGGGGUAGAAAAGUCUUCUAAGCAAUAACUACACCUUAAAAGUUGUGAGGGAGUAUGUUCUAUUGCGAUAUGUAUCUAACUUAAUCGGCUCAAAUGAUCCCCCCUCAGGUUUCAUAAUAAUACCAAAUAACAUUUCCUCUGUUCCCUUUUUUAGAUAAGUCAAAGAUAGACGAUAACAUUGAAAGACAUCUAGAAGAUCUGGAUUUACCUUUGUUUGAUCUGCAAACAAUUACUAGUGCCACUAACAACUUCUCGUUGAAUAAUAAGAUUGGACAAGGUGGUUUUGGAUCUGUAUACAAGGUAAUUGAAUGUUAGUUAAUUCAAGUAUUAAGUAUUGACAACAGAAAGAACAACUAGAGGAGUUUUAAUUAUGCAGGGAAAGUUAGCGGAUGGGCAAGAAAUUGCUGUCAAGAGACUUUCAACAAACUCUGGACAAGGAAUUACUGAGUUCUUAACAGAAGUAAAACUGAUUGCAAAACUUCAACACCGAAAUCUGGUUAAGCUUCUUGGCUGUUGUGUUGGAAGACAAGAAAAAUUUCUAGUAUAUGAAUACAUGGCUAACGGUAGCCUUGACUCCUUUAUCUUUGGUAUGAAUUAUGAAGAAUGCGCAGAUUAGGUGUUUAUUUAUCUACAUCAGCAAUAUUUGUUUAUUAAAUUGACAAUAAUAUGUUUACUUUCCACAAAUCAGAUAAAAUAACAGAUAAAUUGCUGGAGUGGCCACAACGCUUCGAAAUAAUAUUUGGAGUAGCGAGGGGACUUGUGUAUCUUCAUCAAGAUUCUCGAUUAAGGAUUAUUCAUAGAGAUCUCAAAGCAAGUAAUGUUUUGUUGGAUCACAAGUUGAACCCAAAAAUAUCAGAUUUUGGAAUGGCUAGAUCUUUUGGAGGAGACCAGAUUGAAGGAAAUACACAUAGAGUAGUUGGAACAUAGUGAGUGUCUGUCUAGAUUUGGAUUUUCAUUUUCCACGGUUAGAGAAUUCUGCAUUUGCCAAAGUCAAACAAUCUAGAUAGUUGGAUCUAGAUUGAUCGACUGCGAUCAAUGCAAGAUUCUCUAGCUCGACAUUACUUACUGUUCUCUUAUAGUUAAAUAUUGUUGCUCUAAUUGUUUCUAUUAGCGGAUACAUGGCACCAGAGUAUGCCAUUGGUGGACAAUUUUCAAUCAAAUCAGAUGUUUUCAGCUUUGGUGUUUUACUACUAGAGAUUAUAUGUGGGAACAAAAAUAGUGCACUUUAUCAUGGAAACGAGACACUAAACCUUGUUGGUUAUGUAAGUACCUACAUAUUUAUUUCUCUGUUUAUUUAUUUAUUAAUGUUGAAGUUGAAAUGUGUGAUUAAGGGUCUGUUUGGAUUGACUAAUUUGAACUUAUCCACCGAUAUAUAUACUCGUGAGAUUGUUUGAUAGAACUUAUGAAAAUAUCCUAUGACAUGUUGAUAAGCCGAAAAAAGGCCGUGAAGAUUGUCAUAAGUUCUCCCGUUUAAAUAUUAUGCAGGCAUGGAGAGUUUGGAAAGAGGGAAAAGCAUUAGAGUUGAUUGAGUCAAGAAUAAAGGAAUCAUGUGUUGUAUCAGAGGUAUUAAGAUGCAUACAUGUGAGUCUGUUGUGUGUGCAACAAUACCCGGAGGACAGACCUACAAUGACAUCUGUUAUUCAAAUGUUAGGUAGUGAUAUGGAAUUGGUUGAGCCUAAAGCACCUGGUUUCUGUCAAAGGAAGGUAUCUUCUGACGAAGAGUCACCAAAUCAAAAUGAAAUUAGUUCAAAUGAUGAAUUAACCAUUACAUCGCUAAAUGGACGAUGAGUGUAUAAUGUAAACAAAAAUACGGAUACUAGAUUGAUUGUUACCUGGUUGUUCUAGCCACAACUUGAAUGUCGCGCGCCACCCCUGUGG